AAAGAACCUCAUAUAUUCAAUUUCUGUUGAAAUCAAACAAAGUUUAAUUUUGGACCCCAAUUUGGACCAACUUGAAAACUGGGCCCAUAAUCAAAAAUCUAAAUACAUGUUUAGAUUCAGCAUAUCAAAGAACCCCAUAUAUUCAAUUUUUGUUGAAAUCAAACAAAGUUUAAAUACUGGACCCUAUCUUGGACCAACUUGAAAACUGGGCCCAUAAUCAAAAAUAUAAACACAUGUUUAGAUUCAGCAUAUCAAAUAACCCCAAGAAUUCAUUUUUUGUUAAAAUCAAACUAAGUUUAAUUUUGGACCCUUUGGACCUUAAUGUAGACCAAUUUAAAAAACAGGACCCAAAAUUAAAAAUCUAAAUACACGGUUAGAUUUGGAAUAUCAAAGAGCCCCAAUAAUUCAAUUUUAGAUUAAAUCAAACAAAGUUUAAUUUGGACCCUUUUGACCUCAAUAUGAACCAAUUUGAUAACGGGGUCCACAAAUAAAAAAUCUAAAUACAUGUUUAGAUUCAGCAUAUCAAAGAACCCCAUAUAUUCAAUUUUUGUUGAAAUCAAACAAAGUUUAAAUACUGGACCCCAACUUGGACAAACUUGAAAACUGGGCCCAUAAUCAAAAAUCUAAACACAUGUUUAGAUUCAGCAUAUCAAAGAACCCCAAGAAUUCAAUUUUUGCUAAAAUCAAACUAAGUUUAAUUUUGGACCCUUUGGACCUUAAUGCAGCCCAAUUUAAAAAACGGGACUUAAAAUUAAAAAUCUAAAUACACGGUUAGAUUUGGAAUAUCAAAGAACCCCAAUAAUUCAAUUUUUGAUGAAAUCAAACAAAGUUUAAUUUUGGACCCUUUUGACCUCAAUAUGAACCAAUUUGAUAGCGAGGUCCACAAAUAAAAAAUCUAAAUACAUGGUAAGAUUCAGCAUAUCAAAGAACCCCAUAUAUUCAAUUUUUGUUGAAAUCAAACAAAGUUUAAUUUUGGACCCCAAUUUGGACCAACUUGAAAACUGGGCCAAAAAUCAAAAAUCUAAAUACAUGUUUAGAUUCAGCAUAUCAAAGAACCUCAUAUAUUCAAUUUUUGCUAAAAUCAAACAAAGUUUAAUUUUGGACCCUUUGGACAUUAAUGUAGACCAAUUUGAAAACUGGACCCAAAAUUAAAAAUCUAAAUACACUGUUAGAUUCGGCAUAACAAAUAAAUAAAUGUGAUCAAAGAUUUUACAAAUCUAAUGCGCCAUACUGUGCAAUUAAAGAUUACUUCUUGAAAUUUUUCAAUAUUUGAAAUUUGAAAAAAAAAUAAUAUUUGAAGAAUAAUUCUUUUUAAUUUCUGAAAUCUGAAAUGAGAAAAAAUUGGCCCCCCACAAUUUCUUUUUAUCCCCCCCCCUUUUUCCCCCAAAAAAAUUCUUUCCCUCAAGAUAUGGUCAUAAUCUCAAUUCAAAUUUCCAAUGGAGUUGGCAACCAUAAUUACCCAUUUAAAUUUACCAUAGUGCUAACUUAAUCUAUUUUAUAAUAGAAUUAAUAAAAAUAUAGUGUCAAAUCUUUCAUAUGGAUUUUUUUGUAAAAAAAAAAGAUGAAAACAUUUGCAGAUAUUUUUACUGGUCUUCCUUUAUAAAUAUGCAUUUCUUUAAACAUAA